CGUACUUUGAUUUAGUGCGAUGUGGGGACGGAGAAGGUUAUGUCAGCGGCCUGUUGGAAUAGGCCGUUCAAGCCGGUAGGUGGAAAGUUUAGGCAAAUCCGGACUUUCAUAACACCGAGAAGCGAUAACGAGUGUCUACGGACAUGAAGUGACAGAUACCACGCUUCCAGGAAAAGCCACUAAGCUUCAGCUAAAUCAGAACCG
rnacentral:rRNA from 1 species